UUCAUAUUUUAGAGUGAGAGCUUGUCUUUUCCCUGUUCUUGCCUAUCCGCGGGCGACACAGUGUUCACACAUGUGGGGGGUUUACUCAGAGUGAUCACAUUUGAACAUUGAUUUGUGAAGUGUUCUGACUUGUUGCAGCAUAUGCAGACUUCUCUGAUGAUUUGAUCAGCAGUGUUCUUCUCUGAGAUGUUGGAGAUCUUUGAAUGACUUGCAUUCACAUGUGAGACUCAGUUCAUUGAUUCUGGUUUGAAGGCAGAGGAUGCUGCAGAGCAGUUUGAAGUGUACAUAUUUGUUUGAUGAAAUUCUCUAUAAUUUUGAAGUGCAU
rnacentral:sRNA from 1 species